GAUUGAACGCUGGCGGCAGGCCUAACACAUGCAAGUCGAGCGGUAGCACAGAGAGCUUGCUCUCGGGUGACGAGCGGCGGACGGGUGAGUAAUGUCUGGGAAACUGCCUGAUGGAGGGGGAUAACUACUGGAAACGGUAGCUAAUACCGCAUAACGUCGCAAGACCAAAGUGGGGGACCUUCGGGCCUCAUGCCAUCAGAUGUGCCCAGAUGGGAUUAGCUAGUAGGUGGGGUAACGGCUCACCUAGGCGACGAUCCCUAGCUGGUCUGAGAGGAUGACCAGCCACACUGGAACUGAGACACGGUCCAGACUCCUACGGGAGGCGGCAGUGGGGAAUAUUGCACAAUGGGCGCAAGCCUGAUGCAGCCAUGCCGCGUGUGUGAAGAAGGCCUUCGGGUUGUAAAGCACUUUCAGCGGGGAGGAAGGCGUUAAGGUUAAUAACCUUGGCGAUUGACGUUACCCGCAGAAGAAGCACCGGCUAACUCCGUGCCAGCAGCCGCGGUAAUACGGAGGGUGCAAGCGUUAAUCGGAAUUACUGGGCGUAAAGCGCACGCAGGCGGUCUGUCAAGUCGGAUGUGAAAUCCCCGGGCUCAACCUGGGAACUGCAUUCGAAACUGGCAGGCUAGAGUCUUGUAGAGGGGGGUAGAAUUCCAGGUGUAGCGGUGAAAUGCGUAGAGAUCUGGAGGAAUACCGGUGGCGAAGGCGGCCCCCUGGACAAAGACUGACGCUCAGGUGCGAAAGCGUGGGGAGCAAACAGGAUUAGAUACCCUGGUAGUCCACGCCGUAAACGAUGUCGAUUUGGAGGUUGUGCCCUUGAGGCGUGGCUUCCGGAGCUAACGCGUUAAAUCGACCGCCUGGGGAGUACGGCCGCAAGGUUAAAACUCAAAUGAAUUGACGGGGGCCCGCACAAGCGGUGGAGCAUGUGGUUUAAUUCGAUGCAACGCGAAGAACCUUACCUGGUCUUGACAUCCACAGAACUUUCCAGAGAUGGAUUGGUGCCUUCGGGAACUGUGAGACAGGUGCUGCAUGGCUGUCGUCAGCUCGUGUUGUGAAAUGUUGGGUUAAGUCCCGCAACGAGCGCAACCCUUAUCCUUUGUUGCCAGCGGUUCGGCCGGGAACUCAAAGGAGACUGCCAGUGAUAAACUGGAGGAAGGUGGGGAUGACGUCAAGUCAUCAUGGCCCUUACGACCAGGGCUACACACGUGCUACAAUGGCAUAUACAAAGAGAAGCGACCUCGCGAGAGCAAGCGGACCUCAUAAAGUAUGUCGUAGUCCGGAUUGGAGUCUGCAGCUCGACUCCAUGAAGUCGGAAUCGCUAGUAAUCGUAGAUCAGAAUGCUACGGUGAAUACGUUCCCGGGCCUUGUACACACCGCCCGUCACACCAUGGGAGUGGGUUGCAAAAGAAGUAGGUAGCUUAACCUUCGGGAGGGCGCUUACCACUUUGUGAUUCAUGACUGGGGUGAAGUCGUAACAAGG
rnacentral:rRNA from 1 species